rnacentral:rRNA from 1 species
UACAGAGACCUCAAACGUUAUCCGGAAUCAUUGGGCGUAAAGCGUACCGAUAGGUGGUUUAGAAAGUCAGAUGUGAAAUUCCAAGGCUCAACCUUGGAACUGUCAUUUGAAACUUCCAUACUAGAGGGGCAAAGAGGAAGCUGGAACGAACGGUGUAGUAGUGAAAUGCGUUGAUAUCGUUCGGAACACCAAUAGCGAAGGCAGGCUUCUGGGUGCCACCUGACACUGCUAGGACGAAAGCGUGGGGAGCGAAUGGG